rnacentral:rRNA from 1 species
UACGUAGGUGGCAAGCGUUGUCCGGAUUUACUGGGCGUAAAGGGUGCGUAGGUGGAUAUUUAAGUCAGAUGUGAAAGCCCCGGGCUUAACCUGGGAAGUGCAUUUGAAACUGGAUAUCUUGAGUGCAGGAGAGGUAAGUGGAAUUCCUAGUGUAGCGGUGAAAUGCGUAGAUAUUAGGAAGAACACCAGUGGCGAAGGCGACUUACUGGACUGUAACUGACACUGAGGCACGAAAGCGUGGGUAGCAAACAGG